rnacentral:rRNA from 1 species
UCGGGCGGUAACAGGGNGAAGCUUGCUUCUCGGCUGACGAGCGGCGGACGGGUGAGUAAUGUAUGGGGAUCUGCCUGAUGGCGCAGGAUAACUACUGGAACCGGUAGCUAAUACCGCAUAAUGUCUUCGGACCAAAGCGGAAGACCUCCGGGCCUCGCGCCAUCAGAUGAACCCAUAUGGGAUUAGCUAGUAGGUGAGGUAACGGCUUACCUAGGCGACGAUCCCUAGCUGGUCUGAGAGGAUGAUCAGCCACACUGGGACUGAGACACGGCCCAGACUCCUACGGAAGGCAGCAGUCGGGAAUAUUGCACAAUGGCCGCAAGCCUGAUGCAGCCAUGCCGCGUGUAUGAAGACGGCCUUCGGAUUGUAAAGUACUUUCAGUCGGGAGGAAGGUGUCAAGGUUAAUAACCUUGGCAAUUGACGUUACCGACAGAAGAAGCACCGGCUAACUCCGUGCCAGCAGCCGCGGUAAUACGGAGAGUGCAAGCGUUAAUCGGAAUUACUGGCCGUAAAGCGCACGCAGGCGGUUGAUUGAGUCAGAUGUGAAAUCCCAUGGCUUAACCCGGGAAUUGCAUCUGAUACUGGUCAGCUAGAGUCUUGUAGAGAAGGGUAGAAUUCCAUGUGUAGCGGUGAAAUGCGUAGAGAUGUGGAGGAAUACCGGUGGCGAAGGCGGCCGCCUGGACAAAGACUGACGCUCAGGUGCGAAAGCGUCCGGAGCAAACAGGAUUAGAUACCCUGGUAGUCCACGCUGUAAACGAUGUCGACUUGGAGGUUGUGCCCUUGAGGCGUGGCUUCCGGAGCUAACGCGUUAAGUCGACCGCCUGGGGAGUACGGCCGCAAGGUUAAACCUCAAAUGAAUUGACAAGGGCCCGCACAAGCGGUGGAGC